rnacentral:rRNA from 1 species
GUUUUCAGCCAUACCACCCUGAGCAUGCCCCUUUUCAUCUCAUCUCAGAAGCUAAGCAGGGUCAGGCCUGGUUAGUACUUGAAUGAGAGACCGCCUGGCAAUACCAGGUGCUGUAAGCU